rnacentral:lncRNA from 1 species
AAAGAAACCAAAACUCUCAAUACAAAUGUUACCAGGACACUGUCUUAGUCAGGAUUUCUAUUCCUGCGUCCAAGAAGCAAGUUGGGGAGAAAAGGAUUCAUUCCACUUACAUUUCCACAUUGCUGUUCAUCAGCAAAGGAAGUCAGGACAGGAACUCACACAGGGCAGGAUCCUGGAGGCAGGAGCUGAUACAGACAGAGGCCCUGGAGGAAUGUUACUGGCUUGCUUCCCCUGCCUUGCUCAGCUUGCUUUCUUAUAGAACCCAGGACUACCAGCCCAGGGAUAGCACCACCCACCAAUGGGCCCUCCCACCCUUGAUCACUGACUGAGAAAAUGCCUUACAUCUGGAUCUCAUGGAAGCAUUUCCUCAAGGAAGAUUCCGUUCUCGGUGAUAACUCCAGCUUGAGUCAAGUUGACACACAAAACCAGCCAGCACAGACUCUUAUCACGUCCUUUCUCUUCUAAUAAACCAAGAGUUGCUCCCACUCCCGCUGCUGUUACUUAAAAUAGUUUUCCGUGAGACUUCUCUGGAAACACAUACCUUGUUUGUGACAAUUUCAGAGUGACUCCUUUUAACUCAUCCUUGGUGAAGGAUCAGAGGAAACUUUCCAAACUCCCAUAUGCCAUGCUCAAACUCUGCUCCCGAGCUACCCUGGUCAAGUUCGUGAACUAUUACCAGCAUCAGCUAGAUAACAUAAGGCUGCAUUCAUCACAAUGGCAUAUAACUGUUGGCUAUAUAGGAACUAGUUUCAUCUUUUGAAGUCGGUCUACUAAGAAUAUUUGCUUUUUACCAUCACUUUCUUGGAAAGUUCCUCAAGGAUCUGUUCCAGCCAAACAAGAGAGUAAAGCAGAGAACAAGUGCCAAACACCUGCUGUCACGUGAUCACAAAGGGUAAGCAAAUUCUCUUUAGUGUGCUGCUUAGCUACUUAGUUUGAUAGACUUUAUAUAUGAAAUUCCUUUUGUCUUACGCAUUUUCAACUUACGAUGAGUCUUUUGGGAUCUAACAUUUCCGCAAGUUGAGG